UUGUAAAGGUCAGCGGAGUUUGCAGUAUUUCGUGGAUAAGACCACAAUAGGCUCCAGAUGGAACCAGAAUUCAGGCUGGAUUAAUGCGUCAGACCUUCAUGAUAUUUGCCGCGUAGAUUCCCCACCCACAAAGCUUGCGGAAGUCGUGUUCGGGGUCACGGUUAGGUCCCGUAAUUUUCAGUGAGUAGUGCGCCCUGGUUGUUGGAGUGAAUUAUUCAUCAAGAGUGCUUUUCUUCGAGAGAGAAUUCAGUCCCAACAGCGCAGAGAUCUUCGGCGUCUAUACUAGCGAGUUCAUUAUCAUCAGCAUCCUAAGACACGGAGCAUGGGGCUGCACCCCAGUUCUCCCCUUGGCCUGACGUCCUUUUUAUGGUGCCGCACCAUACGCUACAGCAUAUAUCUUAUUCAUGAUAGAUUGAUAUCUGCCUGUUUAAAUUCAGUGUGAUGCAGUGUGUCUGGAAUACAAUGAACUGGUGUGCACUGAGCGCUAUGAGGCGCUCAGUGACCAGAACGUGGCAUGUUUUAUAUUAAGUGGCAAUUAAAAGAACCUGGAAUAUGGCAGUUGUGCUGGUUUAAAAUGCAAGUUCUGAUUAAGCAUGCGUUUUAUAAGAAUACUGUGAGUUUGAAAAGAGGCAGCAAAUGUUUUGUCGCCGUCACAUAGCAAAGGGUUUCAGUCUAACUUACACCCUUUUCUCAGCGGAUGUGAGGCACGUUAAGAGAUUGACCAUGAAGAAUAAUAUGAGUGUCUCCAUGAUUCCACAAAGGAAGUAAAGCAAAACAAGCUGGACGUGAAGGCAGAUCACAGGAAU